UACGGAGGGGGCUAGCGUUGUUCGGAAUUACUGGGCGUAAAGCGCACGUAGGCGGCUUUGUAAGUUAGAGGUGAAAGCCCGGGGCUCAACUCCGGAAUUGCCUUUAAGACUGCAUCGCUAGAAUUGUGGAGAGGUAAGUGGAAUUCCGAGUGUAGAGGUGAAAUUCGUAGAUAUUCGGAAGAACACCAGUGGCGAAGGCGACUUACUGGACCGGUAUUGACGCUGAGGUGCGAAAGCGUGGGGAGCAAACA
rnacentral:rRNA from 1 species